rnacentral:rRNA from 1 species
CCUACGGGAGGUAGCAGUGAGGAAUAUUGGUCAAUGGGCGGAAGCCUGAACCAGCCAAGUAGCGUGCAGGAUGACGGCCCUACGGGUUGUAAACUGCUUUUAUACGGGAAUAACGCGCCUUACGUGUAGGGCUUUGCAUGUACCGUAUGAAUAAGGACCGGCUAAUUCCGUGCCAGCAGCCGCGGUAAUACGGAAGGUCCGGGCGUUAUUCGGAUUUAUUGGGGUUAAAGGGAGCGUAGGCCGCAUGUCAAGCGUGCUGUGAAAUGUCCGGGCUCAACCCGGGCCUUGCAGCGCGAACUGGGGUGCUUGAGUCCGCGGAAAGCAGGCGGAAUUCGUGGUGUAGCGGUGAAAUGCUUAGAUAUGACGAAGAACCCCGAUUGCGAAGGCAGCUUGCUGCAGCGGAACUGACGCUGAUGCUCGAAAGCGCGGGUAUCGAACAGGAUUAGAUACCCCGGUAGUC